GACGAACGCUGGCGGCGUGCUUAACACAUGCAAGUCGAACGGUAACAGGCCGCAAGGUGCUGACGAGUUGCGAACGGGCGAGUAAUGCAUCGGAACGUGCCCAGUCGUGGGGGAUAACGCAGCGAAAGCUGUGCUAAUACCGCAUACGAUCUAUGGAUGAAAGCGGGGGACCGUAAGGCCUCGCGCGAUUGGAGCGGCCGAUGUCAGAUUAGGUAGUUGGUGGGGUAAAGGCUCACCAAGCCAACGAUCUGUAGCUGGUCUGAGAGGACGACCAGCCACACUGGGACUGAGACACGGCCCAGACUCCUACGGGAGGCAGCAGUGGGGAAUUUUGGACAAUGGGCGCAAGCCUGAUCCAGCAAUGCCGCGUGCAGGAAGAAGGCCUUCGGGUUGUAAACUGCUUUUGUACGGAACGAAAAGGUUUGGGUUAAUACCCUGGGCCGAUGACGGUACCGUAAGAAUUAGCACCGGCUAACUACGUGCCAGCAGCCGCAGUAA
rnacentral:rRNA from 1 species